rnacentral:rRNA from 1 species
CGGGAAUAUUGCGCAAUGGAGGAAACUCUGACGCAGUGACGCCGCGUGCAGGAAGAAGGUUUUCGGAUUGUAAACUGCUUUAGACAGGGAAGAAAAAAGACAGUACCUGUAGAAUAAGCUCCGGCUAACUACGUGCCAGCAGCCGCGGUAAUACGUAGGGAGCGAGCGUUAUCCGGAUUUAUUGGGUGUAAAGGGUGCGUAGACGGGAAAUUAAGUUAGUUGUGAAAUCCCACGGCUCAACUGUGGAACUGCAACUAAAACUGAUUUUCUUGAGUACUGGAGAGGAAAGUGGAAUUCCUAGUGUAGCGGUGAAAUGCGUAGAUAUUAGGAGGAACACCAGUGGCGAAGGCGACUUUCUGGACAGAAACUGACGUUGAGGCACGAAAGUGUGGGGAGCAAACAGGAUUAGAUACCCUGGUAGUCCACACCGUAAACGAUGGAUACUAGGUGUAGGGUGUGAUAAACACUCUGUGCCGUCGCAAACGCAAUAAGUAUCCCACCUGGGGAGUACGGCCGCAAGGUUGAAACUCAAAGGAAUUGACGGGGGCCCGCACAAGCAGUGGGGUAUGUGGUUUAAUUCGAAGCAACGCGAAGAACCUUACCAGGGCUUGACAUAAACAGGAAUAUAUAAGAGAUUAUAUAGCUCUUCGGAGUCUGUUUACAGGUGGUGCAUGGUUGUCGUCAGCUCGUGUCGUGAGAUGUUAGGUUAAGUCCUGCAACGAGCGCAACCCCUAUUCUUAGUUGCCAGCAUGUAAAGAUGGGAACUCUAGGAAGACUGCCGGUGAUAAAUCGGAGGAAGGUGGGGACGACGUCAAAUCAUCAUGCCCUUUAUGUCCUGGGCUACACACGUACUACAAUGGCUAUCACAGAGAGAAGCGAAGCAGUGAUGUGGAGCAAAACUCAAAAAAGUAGUCUCAGUUCGGAUUGAAGGCUGAAAUUCGCCUUCAUGAAGCCGGAAUUGCUAGUAAUGGCAGGUCAGCAUACUGCCGUGAAUACGUUCCCG